rnacentral:lncRNA from 1 species
CAUCUGUUCAAUAGGAAAAGGACCUCUUCCUCUUGGCAGGAGCCAUUGUGCACCCGUCACCCAGAGCCCGCCUCCCGGCACCUGGCUGCCCACCCACCUUCAUCAGAAUCCACCAUCACCUGUCUCCAUCUCCGCCAAGCUCUCACCGGUGGUUCUCAGUUCCCAAGCUAGCUUUUCUGGGCAGGCUGGCCAUUCUCCCUUCCUCAGCGUGACUUAUUCACUGGGAACCGGUCCAGGGUUUUAUUGCAUAGCCCUGGGUGUCCUGGAACUCACUCUGAAGAGCAGGCUGGCCUUGAAUUCUGUCUUCUAAGUGCUGGGAUAAAAGGUAUGCACCACCACCGCCUGGCUUCUUCCUUCCUUCCUUCCUCCCUCUCCCACCUUACACCCAAAGGUCUCACUGUAGCCCUGGUGGCUAUCGCCAAAGACACUCUGAAGGCCUGUUUGGUUUUUUUGUUUGUUUAUUUGUUUUGUUUUUGUUUUUU